GACGAACGCUGGCGGCGUGCUUAACACAUGCAAGUCGAACGGAAAGGCCCUGCUUUUGUGGGGUGCUCGAGUGGCGAACGGGUGAGUAACACGUGAGUAACCUGCCCUUGACUGUGGGAUAACUUCAGGAAACUGGGGCGAAUACCGGAUAGGAGCUCCUGCUGCAUGGGGGGGGUUGGAAAGAUUCGGCGGUUGGGGAUGGACUCGCGGCUUAUCAGCUUGUUGGUGGGGUAGUGGCUUACCAAGGCUUUGACGGGUAGCCGGCCUGGGAGGGUGACCGGCCUCAAUGGGCCUGCGAUACGGCCCAGACUCCUACGGGAGGCAGCAGUGGGGAACAUUGCACAAUGGGCGGAAGCCUGAUGCAGCAACGCCGCGUGCGGGAUGACGGCCUUCGGGUUGUAAACCGCUUUCGCCUGUGACGAAGCGUGAGUGACGGUAAUGGGUAAAGAAGCACCGGCUAACUACGUG
rnacentral:rRNA from 1 species